rnacentral:rRNA from 1 species
UACGUAGGGGGCGAGCGUUGUCCGAAGUUACUGGGCGUAAAGCGCGCGUAGGCGGUCUCUUAAGUCCGGGGUGAAAGGUUCAGCGCUCAACGCGAACAGUGCCCUGGAGACUGGGGGACUUGAGUGUGGGAGGGGGCAGUGGAAUUCCGGGUGUAGCGGUGAAAUGCGUAGAUAUCCGGAGGAACACCGAUGGCGAAGGCAGCUGCCUGGCCUGACACUGACGCUCAUGCACGAAAGCGUGGGGAGCAAACAGG